UGGAAAUGAUGAUUGAUUAUCUGAGAAAUAAUUGAUGAAAUAUCAAGAAAAUUCCUCUAGAUAGUCAAGUUCUGAUCCAG
rnacentral:snoRNA from 10 species